rnacentral:rRNA from 1 species
GACGAACGCUGGCGGCGUGCUUAACACAUGCAAGUCGAACGGAAAGGCCCUGCUUUUGUGGGGUGCUCGAGUGGCGAACGGGUGAGUAACACGUGAGUAACCUGCCCUUGACUUUGGGAUAACUUCAGGAAACUGGGGCUAAUACCGGAUAGGAGCUCCUGCUGCAUGGUGGGGGUUGGAAAGUUUCGGCGGUUGGGGAUGGACUCGCGGCUUAUCAGCUUGUUGGUGGGGUAGUGGCUUACCAAGGCUUUGACGGGUAGCCGGCCUGAGGGGGUGACCGGCCACAUUUGGACUGAGAUACGGCCCAGACUCCUACGGGAGGCAGCAGUGGGGAAUAUUGCACAAUGGGCGGAAGCCUGAUGCAGCAACGCCGCGUGCGGGAUGACGGCCUUCGGGUUGUAAACCGCUUUCGCCUGUGACGAAGCGUGAGUGACGGUAAUGGGUAAAGAAGCACCGGCUAACUACGUG